CGGGAUAGCUCAGUUGGUAGAGCAGAGGACUGAAAAUCCUCGUGC
rnacentral:tRNA from 1 species